AAAAAUGAGGUGACUUUACCUGUUCAACUGCUGAAUGAUAUGGGCAUGACCUAAAACUUAAUGCUGACAGAG
ensembl:snoRNA